rnacentral:lncRNA from 1 species
CAAGAAGUUACAAAUGAAAAGAAUUCUAGUAUGUUGUCUAGAGAUUGUUCUUACGAUAUUUUGGUGAAGAAAUUGGCUUCUUUUUCCCUUGCCAAAAAGCCUGCCUGAGGCUAAAGUGAAGAAUUUUAGAUUAAUUACCUUGGCAGAGGAAAUCUCAAAAUAGCCUAGUAUGGCCUCUGUUGUGUGCAUUUUGGUGGUAACUCUAAUGAAGAUUUAUAAUGAAUAGGAGCAAGUUGAACAGGGUAAAUUACAAAAUGAAAAAUUUAAGGAGGAAAGGAAUACCAAAAAGUGGAAUGGAACUAAAUCCUCUGUUCAAGGAGAUUAAGAAAUGGAAUAAUAAAGGGAGUGAUGACAUCAGGUCAAGAUCCCAUCCAGCUAAAUUUCCAGCUUGUGAAAAGAAACUAAAGAAAAGUUUAGAGCUGGGUGCAAUGGUGUACACCUUUAAUCCCAGCACUGGGAAGGGUGGGUAUCAUGAGUUUGAGGCUAGCCUGGUCUAUAGAGCAAGUUGAAAGGCAAAUUUACACAGUGAAGGUAAACAAAAAACAAAGCGGUACUUGGGAGACAGAGGCAGGUGGAUCUCUGUGAGCUCAAGGCCAGUCUGGUCUACAGAGUUGAGUUCCAGGACAGCCAAGGCUACACAGAGAAAAUCUGUCUCAAAAAGCUAAAAAACAAAAAAAGCAGAAAGCAGAUGGAGAUGUAAUUGAAUGAGUGGAUCAUGUUCUAGCCCCAGCAAGCAGCAGAACUUGGCAGCUUUGAUACAUGGUCCUGGCUUUAGAAUUAACAAUAGAAGAAACAGGUUAUGGAAUUUACCUCCUCACCUAAAAAUAAAAGCCUCAGAGGCAAAGUAUGUGUCAGGGGUGUCCCAGGAUGGAGGCUUAUGAGGCCAUAUUGUGAAGCUGUGAAGUUGAAGCCUGAAUUGCCUUGGAGACCCCAAGAUGUUAGAGAUGCCAGAAUCAUGGGAUACCUACCGAGGAGAGCUGCUAUCAAGGAGUGGAACCAGCCCAAGAAAAAGAAGUGUGUUGCAGUCAACAAGGAUGAAUGGAUUUGGAGAUCUGAGAAGUGUUUUUAUAUCAGACCUGGAGCAAAGAGUUUGAUAUUUGCCCAGCUUGUUUUUGCUCAUGCUUUGGUCCAGUAUUUCUUCAUUAUGCUCCCUUCUCUACAUUUUGGAAGGGUGAUGUAUAUCUUGUGCCAUUGUAUGUUGGAAGUAUAUGGUUUUUUUUAAUUAUUUUGAUUUUAUAAGGGAUUACAGUUAAGAGAUACAAAUCUCGGAAGAGAUUUUGAACUUUGGACUUUUAAACAUUGUUGAGACUGUUACAGACUAUGGGGACUUUUGAAGUUGGACUCAAUGCAUUUUGCAUUAUGAGAUUAUUAAGUGCUUGUGAGGGCCUGGGAGUGGAAUGUGGUAAUUUGAAUGUAAUUGGUCCCCAUAAGCUCAUAGAGAAUGGCACUAUUAGGUGGUAUGGCCUUGUUGAAGUAGGUAUAGCCUUGCUGAUGGAAGUGUGUCACUGUGUGGGGGGUGGGCUUUGAAGUUUCUUUUGCUCAAGUUUCACUUGGUGUGACUUCCAGACCAUUUCCUGCUGCCUACAAGAUGUAGGACUCUCAGCUCCUUCACCAACACCACAUCUGCCUUCAUGCAGCCAUCCUCCAUAAUACUGAACUGAACCUCUGAACUGAAUCAUGUGAAAGAUGAUGAAGGCUGGACAUGUUUGUGUGCAAAGAAGCAAGAAGCAAUGUCUGAAGUAAUUUUGGCUUCUUCCUGGGCUCGAUGUGGUAAGGGGGGAACCCCAGGAGCAACACAGAAAUGAUUCCAAAGGGGCUUUAUAAGCUGAUUUGUAUGAAGCAGAGAACUCUAAACCCCACAGUUUCCUGGAGAAAGCAACACCUGGAAGACCGAAGGAAACCAAGCAAGAUUUCAAUUUUCCACUGUAAGUGUGCUUAGGAAGGACCCCAGACUUGAUGGACAAGACAGAAAGCCCAUAGCCAACGAGCCGAAGGAUCCCCCACUUUGUACCCACCUGAAGGAUCACCCCCUGCCUGCCUGUGAGCUAAGAACCAAAUUGAAAAAGACUUAGAAUCAUAGAAUUCAAUGUUGAGCCACCACAGGGGACCAACAUGACCUGCUAGGGUAUAAUAGCUGACGAGAACAGCACUCCUCAGAGGAAGGUAACAGAAUCCAGAGUCUCUGAAAUAAGUCCUCCAUAAUGUCCAAUCUAAAACCACCAGCAAUUCAAAGAAACAGGAAAACGGGACUAGGGAAAGUCUUCAAAAUAGCAGAAUUAGCAGACAAGAACAUUAAGACAAUUUUGAUCACUUGUUUGUUUAUUUUGUUUUGUUUUUUUAAACAGAGCCUCUCUACAUUGCCCUAGCUGUCCUGGAACUCACUGUGUAGACUAGACUAGCUUAAGACUCAUAGAGAUCUGCCUGCUUUUGUCUCCAUAGUUCUGGGCUUGACUGAUGUUUUGAGGAGCCAACAGGAAUAGCUGGUUAAUGAAGAUACAUGGAGAUUAUCUUUACCCCAGUCAAACCUUUAGAAUUGGAAGAUGUAAUGAAUCCAGUAAAGUGUCCACAGAUAAAUACUGGUUAAUUUUAUGCUAACUUGACACAAGCUAGAGUCAUCAGAGAGGAGGGAGCUUCAAUUGAGAAAAUGUCUGCAUACAAUGGGGCUAUGGGCAGGACAGUAAGGCAUUUUCUUAAUUAGUGAUUCAUGUGGGAGGGCCCAGCUCAUUGUGGGUGGGGACAUCCCUGGGCUGGUAGUCCGGGGUUCUAUUAAAAAAAAGCAGGGAGAACAAGCCAGUAUGCAGCACCUCUCCAUGGCCUUUGCAUCAGCUUCUGCCUCUGGAUUCCUGUCCUGUUUGAGUUCCUGUCCUGACUUCCUUCAGUGAUGAACAAUGUAUGGAAGUGUAAGCCAAAUAAACCCUUUUCUCC